CCUACGGGAGGCAGCAGUGAGGAAUAUUGGUCAAUGGACGAGAGUCUGAACCAGCCAAGUAGCGUGAAGGAUGACUGCCCUAUGGGUUGUAAACUUCUUUUAUAUGGGAAUAAAAUGUUCCACGUGUGGGCUUUUGUAUGUACCAUAUGAAUAAGGAUCGGCUAACUCCGUGCCAGCAGCCGCGGUAAUACGGAGGAUCCGAGCGUUAUCCGGAUUUAUUGGGUUUAAAGGGAGCGUAGGUGGAUUGUUAAGUCAGUUGUGAAAGUUUGCGGCUCAACCGUAAAAUUGCAGUUGAAACUGGCAGUCUUGAGUACAGUAGAGGUGGGCGGAAUUCGUGGUGUAGCGGUGAAAUGCUUAGAUAUCACGAAGAACUCCGAUUGCGAAGGCAGCUCACUGGACUGCAACUGACACUGAGGCUCGAAAGUGUGGGUAUCAAACAGGAUGAGAUACCCGAGUAGUC
rnacentral:rRNA from 1 species